AUAGUCUGACAUCUGAAGGGAGGGUUUCACAGAGAGGAUGCCACUACCAAGAAGGUCCUCUGCUUAGUUUCCUGUAACUGCUUCUCGCGGUGAGGGAACCAGCAGAGGACCCUCGACUGGACCUUAGUGUCCAGGCUGAGUGAUGGGGGUGGAGACGCUCCUUCAGGUAUACUGGGCUGAGGUCAGCACCAACACUUUGAAUUGUGCUCGUAAAUGUACUGGAAGCCAAUGAAGAUACUUUAGGACUGGUGUUAUAUGGUUCCGGUGGCCACUCCCGGUCACCAGUCUAGCUCCAAGUCACCUUGAAAGGUAGCCCUACAUAGACCACAUCACAGUAGUCCAAGUGGGAGAUAACCAGAGCAUGCACCACUCUGGCAAGACAGUCUGCAGGCAGGUAGGGUCUCAGCCUGCAUACCAGGUGGAGCUGGUAGACAGCUGCCCUGGACACAGAAUUAACUUGUGCGGCUGUGAGUCCAAAAUGAUUCCCAGGCUGCGCAUCUCUGCAUUGUCAAAAACUACCCAGAAGUGUAUUUUGCAGCACAAUCUGAUGCUGCUUUCAUAGCUGGUGGUGAGGAUGAUUAAAGAUGGCCCACGUUGUGUGUAUGAGUUUGACCUCUGCCAGAGCAGAGGUAAUAUCCAUGUGCCCAUCCUACAUUUAAAAACCAUUUCCCUCUCAAGUAAAGCUGCAGACAAUAAAGUUUGUCACCCCUCGUUUAAAAGUUAGUAGUGCAGAUUGUGCUCAGGGCCUGCCCGGCUGGAUUCAAGCCAUGCUUGCUUUGAAAAUUGUACAUUUAUUUAAUGAGAUUUAUUAGCCACCCUACACCCAGGGUGGGUUUAAGCAAUAAAAUAAGCAAUUACAAGACAAAUAGAAUAUCUACAACCAUAAAACAAGGACCAAAACAAUAUAUAAAUCGAUUAAAAGCAAUGCCAUACAUAAAAACAACACAAGCAUUUAAAAACAAUUCCACAUGUUAAAAAUUGUACAUGCCCACACCCCUGUUAGAGCUGUUGUGUCACAAGGUUGAAUCAAUUUGCAAGGGGGAAAAAGACAUUGUUUAGUGAGUUUCUGUGUUUCUGAUGUUGCAAUAUUAUUCCACAAAGAGCAGGUUUUGCUGCUGCUGCUGAACUACUAACUAUUCUGUAUUUUGCAACAAGUCAUGCAUUUAAAUACACGGCUUUCUAAUCUCUGAUCCAGAUCAUCCACUGUGCUACUUUACUAGUGUAGCUGCACAGAUGGAAACCAAUCAGAUUUCCUUCCAGACAGCUGGCAGAAAGCUAUAAUAUGGGGUGGGGUUUUUUCUCUCUCUGGGGUCUUCUGAUGCCAGCAACGUGAGGGAGGAGAGGAGGAGAGGAUGUGGCUUGCUGAACACUGUCCCGGAGCUAUUUUGGGCCUGUCAGUCAUCUCCUGGGAGCUGUGGCAGCUUGGCAUAUAUUACAGUAUGUUGGAAAACUGGUUAGCAGCAGAAGCCAGGAAACAGAAGGGCUGAAAGGAUUGUAUGGGAAACGGGCUGGGGCCCUGCCGCGCUGAUUGGCAGAAACUCAAGGGUGAAGCGAUUAGGCUAGUAAUCUUGCUUUUCUUCUUCAGCGAAAUGUAUUUCCAAACAUUUGUGUCAUCCGUGCAGGGGACCAUUGUGCGGAUUUUGAGGGUGAAUUGUCUUCAAUUUCGGAAGAUUAAAAAAAAAAGUAGACCUAUGCAAUGCUAAGGGGUGAGGAACGAAAAUGUAAUUGACAAUCCUUUAAAUAACUAAAAUUGGGACUCGGAAUAAAAUGUUGCAGUACCGAGCUCUCCUAUUCACUUUGCCAGCCCUGCCCACUUCUACAGUACUCCAUUCCAUCAACUCUCCCACACCCAGGUUCCUAUCCCCCUUCCCACAGAUAGGCAGAAGUCCUCAGUGCAGUUUUUGGGGUUCCCCUUUAGAUCCGCCCCCCAAUAUUUGUGUACUUCUGCUGAUUUCCCCUCAUGCAUGGGUGGUGCUGUUUUGACUACAUAAACAUAGGGUCAGCACUUGCCCAGGAACUCUGGCAACAGAGGGAACAAGAGGGACCUGCAACAAAGGGUUGCAGCGUGGAAUGCUCUUGUUCAGCAUGGUCUAGUCCUUUCCCCUUCCUUCUGGUUUUCCUCCCCUAUCACCUGAUCAUUUAGCAUUCUGUACUCACUGAGCAUGCUCAGUCCUAUGUCCCCCACCCCCGUACAUUUUCAAAAAAUAAUAAUCUGUACUUCUGCAAACCUUCCCCCGAUCAUGCUGAUACCGCCCCCUUGUGCAUGGAUGAUGUCAUUUUGCCUGCAUAAAUAUCUACUCAGUUAAUUAAAUUAUCUACUAAUGCACAUAUUGCUUUUAUAUAACCUGGGAGGGAUGCAUUUGAGGGGAAAUCCUCCACAUUUGUCUCCACGAGUGGACUCUCCCCUCAUGAACUUUGGUAAAAAAAAUUCUGUUGGCAAACAGUCCUAAGGUAAAAUUUUACCACGAGAAACUCUGGGGUUUGGGAUUGUCCUCCCCCUCCCUCCAUAAUUAUUGGUUGAUAAACUAGAACUGUGCCAAAUUCAUCAUUCUAUUUUUUUUAUAUAUAAUAUUUAUUAAUUUUCCAACAAUUUCAACACAACACUACAAAAGAAAAAGCAUAAAAACGAAGACAAUGCAAUACAAUACAAAAGCACUACAAAACACUAACACAU